UUCAUACUAACAAAAAAAUUCAAUUGUUCUUGAUUUUUAAAAAUAUGAGUCACACUAUUAACACAGUAUGAAGUGGUGAGUUUUAUCAGUCAUUAAAAGCCACCACUGUCGUUUGUUGUUUUUGGCGCAAUUUCUAAAGUUUAUACAUUUAUAACUUGUGCGAAUAUUUUUGUUUUUAAUUUAACUUGUUAUAAACAAAUAAACAUAAAUAUGGCUUCAGUAUAUGAAGAUAAUGUAGUCGAAGAUUUACUUAAUGGAAAUUUACAUGAAUUACCAAGCGAUGAAGAAAAUGAUCAGAAUGGCAUGGGUGGGGAAGAUCUUUUUGGCGAAGAAGGUGAAGCCGGCGGUAACUCGGGUGAAGCGCAGCCGGGCAUUAAAGUUGAGCCAAAGAAGAGAACAGUGCGAAAUCCAAGACCAAAAUUAUCUCUGGAUACUUUGACGGGACCACGCGGCAUACAUACAAUAGAAGAAUAUUUCAAAGAUAUUAGCUUCAAGGGAAAAGGACAUGAAAAACGUGACCUAGAUGAGGUGAUGCGCCGUAUGACACAUUGGGCACAUCGGAUGUAUCCAAAUUACAAAUUUGACGAUGUCUUGACAAAUAUAGAACGUAUUGGCAAGAAGAAAUCUCUUCAAGUACAUAUGUCACGUUAUCGUCUGGGUAUGUUGGAAAACUUGAAAAACAUGGGUGACAAAGCACAUGACGAAGAGGAGGAUGGUGAUGCAGAUGCAGCAGUAGAUGAACCUUUUGACGAGUUUGAUGCAUUGUUGGGUGAACAAAUUGCCAUAUCUAAAAUAGCGCCGCGUACGCCUGCACACUACAGUAGUGGUGGUGCUGAUAGAAUGGACGCGACGUUUACAGGGGCUAGUACCAGUACUUUACACACUCCAUCAUUUAAUCGCGGUAAUGCAGUCAUGUCUACACCAUAUACCAACAGUGGCCAACCAGGCCAUAAAUUAAAUGACAGCGACCUAGCGCGUCCACUACCGCCGUCACAACCGGCAUCUCCUGCUCCCAAAUUAACAGCAGAGCAAAUGGCGCGAAUAGCAGAAAAUCGUCGUAUAGCAUUGGAGAGGUUGAAAGCGAAAAAAGAACGCUUAGCACAGCAGACAAACGCAACUGUAGAUCUAACAAAGCCCAUACCAGAGGAGGCAUAACGUUUCGAAGUAAUUACUGGGCCACACGUGAGAAUUUGUUAAAUGUAUAAAAUUAGUCAACACAUUUAACCUCCUGUGAUUCAAGCUAUGCAGCCACUUAACACUACUAAAUGUGCUUAUCAUUUUUUAUACUCUGGAAUUCUGCUCGAUCAGCUGUGAAUACGUCAAAUGAUUGUGGCGAAAACAGCCAUAAAGAGAACUUGUGCUAGCCUACAAAACAAAAACAUUUUUUCGUUUUAUUUCUACAUCCAACAAUAUUUUUUCACAUACCUCAUACGAAGACAAAAUUGUUUUGCUACGCUCUAUUUUUUGGCGGGUACUUAAUAGUGCAUAUAAACAUUAUCAACAUCAACACAAAGCGUUGUUUGAGCGAUGGUCACGAGUGGAAGUGGGCGAAAUAUAGUUUGCGCAUGCGUGUGGUUCUACGAAAAUUGAGAGAAUACAGAGUUAACCCUAAUAUGGUACAUGCUAUAUAAUUUUUUUACCAAAGAUUUAUAUUUAUUUGCCAUACCACAUAUUUUAACAACUUUUUUUCGAUUAAAUAAAGUUAUCCUUUUGUUUGCGUAAAAAUUAAACACAUUCCGUAAUUGAAAAAAAAAAA